UACAGAGGUCCCAAGCGUUGUUCGGAUUCACUGGGCGUAAAGGGUGCGUAGGUGGCGAGGUAAGUUUGAUGUGAAAUCUCCGGGCUUAACCCGGAAAUGGCAUUGAAUACUCUCUCGCUUGAGGGUUGGAGGGGGGACUGGAAUUCUCGGUGUAGCAGUGAAAUGCGUAGAUAUCGAGAGGAACACCAGUGGCGAAGGCGAGUCCCUGGACAACUCCUGACACUGAGGCACGAAAGCUAGGGGAGCAAACAGG
rnacentral:rRNA from 1 species